rnacentral:rRNA from 1 species
UGGGGAAUAUUGGGCAAUGGGCGCAAGCCUGACCCAGCAACGCCGCGUGAAGGAAGAAGGCCUUCGGGUUGUAAACUUUGUUGUAGAGGACGAAGAAAGUGACUGUACUCUACGAGGAAGCCCCGGCUAACUAUGUGCCAGCAGCCGCGGUAAUACAUAGGGGGCAAGCGUUGUCCGGAAUCACUGGGCGUAAAGGGAGCGUAGGCGGAUGUUUAAGUUAAGUGUGAAAGCCUGGGGCUUAACUCCAGAAAUGCACUUAAUACUGGAUAUCUAGAGUGUGGGAGAGGUAAGUGGAAUUCCUAGUGUAGCGGUAAAAUGCGUAGAGAUUAGGAGGAACACCAGAGGCGAAGGCGGCUUACUGGACCACAACUGACGCUGAGGCUCGAAAGCGUGGGGAGCAAACAGGAUUAGAUACCCUGGUAGU